rnacentral:rRNA from 1 species
CAAAAUGUAUGCUAAGUGGAAAAGGAUGUGGGGAUGCACAGACAACUAGGAGGUUGGCUCAGAAGCAGCCAUCCUUCAAAGAGUGCGUAACAGCUCACUAGUCGAGUGACCCUGCGCCGAAAAUGUACCGGGGCUAAGCAUACUACCGAAGCUGCGGAUUUGUAGUAAUACAAGUGGUAGGGGAGCGUUCCAUGCACGUGGAAGCCAUACCGUAAGGAGUGGUGGAGAGCAUGGAAGUGAGAAUGCCGGUGUGAGUAGCGAGAUGCAGGUGAGAAUCCUGCACACCGAUAGACCAAGGAUUCCAGGGGAAGGUUCGUCCGCCCUGGGUAAGUCGGGACCUAAGGCGAGGCCGAAAGGCGUAGUCGAUGGAAAACAGGCAGAUAUUCCUGUACCCGCGAUGGAAAUGAAGGAAUGACGGAGAAGGCUAGCAUGAGCCACUUAUUGGAUUGUGGUCGAAGCGAAUAGCAGGUGCACAGUAAAAUGCGUGCACGGGAUGUAAAACGUGACAGGUAAGCGAAACCCCUGGGGAGUAGCGAAGCAUGCGAGGCCAGCUUCCAGGAAAAGUUUCUAGUGCUGAUUCCAUAGCGGCCCGUACCAAAACCGACACAGGUGGGCAAGGAGAGUAUCCUGAGGUGAGCGAGAGAACUGUUGCCAAGGAACUCGGCAAAAUGACUCCGUAAGUUAGCGAGAAGGAGUGCUUAUGAAAGUAAGCCGCAGUGAAGAGGCCCAAGCGACUGUUUAACUAAAACACAGCUCUCUGCGAAGUCGCAAGACGAAGUAUAGGGGGUGACGCCUGCCCGGUGCUGGAAGGUUAAGAGGAUUUGUCAGUUUCGACGAAGCAAUGAAUUGAAGCCCCAGUGAACGGCGGCCGUAACUAUAACGGUCCUAAGGUAGCGAAAUUCCUUGUCAGGUAAGUUCUGACCCGCACGAAAGGCGUAACGAUUUGGGCGCUGUCUCGGCAGCAGACUCGGUGAAAUCUUAGUACCUGUGAAAAUGCAGGUUACCCGCAACUAGACGGAAAGACCCCAUGGAGCUUUACUGCAGCCUGAUAUUGGAUUUUGAUCAGAGAUGUACAGGAUAGGUGGGAGACGAAGAAGGAUGCACGCCAGUGUAUCUGGAGUCGACGUUGGGAUACCACUCUUGUCUGAUUGGAGUUCUAACCUGCGUCCAUGAAGCUGGACGGGGGACCGUGUCAGGCAGGCAGUUUGACUGGGGCGGUCGCCUCCCAAAGAGUAACGGAGGCGCCCAAAGGUACGCUCAGAUUGGACGGAAAUCAAUCGGCGAGUGCAAAUGCAGAAGCGUGCUUGACUGUGAGACAAACAGGUCGAACAGGGACGAAAGUCGGGAUUAGUGAUCCGGCGGUGCCGAAUGGAAGGGCCGUCGCUCAACGGAUAAAAGCUACCCUGGGGAUAACAGGCUGAUCUCGCCCAAGAGUUCACAUCGACGGGGAGGUUUGGCACCUCGAUGUCGGCUCAUCGCAU